rnacentral:rRNA from 1 species
UACGGAGGGUGCAAGCGUUAAUCGGAAUUACUGGGCGUAAAGCGUGCGCAGGCGGUUUGUUAAGUCUGCUGUGAAAUCCCCGAGCUCAACUUGGGAAUUGCAGUGGAUACUGGCAAGCUGGAGUACGGUAGAGGAAGGUGGAAUUCCCGGUGUAGCAGUGAAAUGCGUAGAGAUCGGGAGGAACACCAGUGGCGAAGGCGGCCCCCUGGGCUGACACUGACGCUCAGGCACGAAAGCGUGGGGAGCAAACAGG